UGCUGGAAUCAACACAGACUACCUCCAUGCACCUAAUCAGAACACUUUGCAUGUUUUUUGUGUACUUGUCCCCUUUGUGUAUUGCUGCUAAUCUGUCUCUUUCUAGGUUCUGUUGGUUGCAUGCAGAUUGUGCCAGAUGAUUUAUCUGUCUAUGGUCUUAGCAUGGGCUCUGUGCUAAUAUGCAAUUUGUGCUCUUUUUUCCCUCAGGUCAACCGCAGACAGGGUCCUUCCACAACCACAUACUUAUGCCAGUAAAAGCUACAGCUCUUCUCCGAUCCAAGAAGCCUGGACUGCAGUCACCAUCUCAACACACCAACCAAGAGAAAGGCGGAUGGCUCAAUUCAAUAUGGAAAAUUGCACAAUAAAAGUUCCAGGACAUGAAGGCUGCAUACUGUGAACGUCAACCUUCAGGGCACCGUCCUGUGCAGAAGACUUUCUGCCCCAAGAGGGAUGGCUGACGGCAGACACUCACAACCAGCACAGACGCCUCCAACCUCAGACUAGGCCCUUCACAGUUGCUGCACUUACCC